UACGUAGGGGGCGAGCGUUGUCCGGAUUCAUUGGGCGUAAAGAGCGUGUAGGCGGCCAGGUAGGUCCGUUGUGAAAACCCGAGGCUUAACCUCGGGACGCCGACGGAAACCAUCUGGCUAGGGUCCGGAAGAGGAGAGUGGAAUUCCCGGUGUAGCGGUGAAAUGCGCAGAUAUCGGGAAGAACACCCGUGGCGAAGGCGGCUCUCUGGGACGGUACCGACGCUGAGACGCGAAAGCGUGGGGAGCGAACAGG
rnacentral:rRNA from 1 species